rnacentral:rRNA from 1 species
AACGAACGCUGGCGGCAUGCCUAACACAUGCAAGUCGAACGAAGCCUUCGGGCUUAGUGGCGCACGGGUGCGUAACGCGUGGAAUCUGCCCCUUGCUUCGGAAUAACAGUUAGAAAUGACUGCUAAUACCGGAUGAAGUCUUCGGACCAAAGAUUUAUCGGCAAGGGAUGAGCCCGCGUAGGAUUAGGUAGUUGGUGGGGUAAAGGCCUACCAAGCCGACGAUCCUUAGCUGGUCUGAGAGGAUGAUCAGCCACACUGGGACUGAGACACGGCCCAGACUCCUACGGGAGGCAGCAGUGGGGAAUAUUGGACAAUGGACGCAAGUCUGAUCCAGCAAUGCCGCGUGAGUGAUGAAGGCCUUAGGGUUGUAAAGCUCUUUUACCAGGGAUGAUAAUGACAGUACCUGGAGAAUAAGCACCGGCUAACUCCGUG